rnacentral:tRNA from 1 species
GCCUUCAUGGUGUAAUGGACAACACACUCGGCGCGUACUUGAGAGAUCCGAGGUUCGAAUCCCGGCUAGGGCA